GGGGGCGAAACUGGAUUCGACCGGAUAGCCUGAAGUGUAAGUGGCGUACCGUGGUUGGUCAGUUGGCCACGCUAAAAGCUGACCAAAUUAAUUUAAUUGCUGAGGAUAACCUCGCACUGGCUGCCUAAGUAAAGGCAACCCGGGCUGAAAGGCUUAGCUGGAGAGCUUUGACUGCCCGUUGCAAAUCCAGAUCGAUCACUGUCAUGCCCGACACGCAGAGAUCUAAACUAGGUUUUGGGAUCGCGAUCUGACAAUCUUGUUGAGCGGAGUGUUAGGUCGUUAAACUCAAUUGCUCGACUACGUACGUAGAAGCUUGCAUGGAAAUAUUGCGGGACGCGGGUUCAAUUCCCGCCGCCUCCACUA
rnacentral:tmRNA from 2 species